rnacentral:lncRNA from 1 species
AUGGACUUCGUCGUCUUCUUCCUUCGCUCCGUUGCGCUUCGCAGUUGCAGAAAGCAGAUAAAACUCUCGAAGCUCUGCUCGGCGCCUCACAAUAUUCUCUCUCUCCCUCCCUCUCUCUCUCUCUGACAUGGCCGCAGCUCAGGUCUCUGCUUCACUCUCGGUCUCUGCUCGCGGUACCCUUUCUUCAUCUCUCUCUCUCUCUCUCUCUCUCUCUCUCUCUCUCUCUGCGCGCUGCAAUUUGUCUCCAUUGUCGUCUCUCAUGAAGCUCUGCGCCGGUUCGUCCUCUGCUCUGUCUUUUGGCUGCAGAUUUCUGCGCGGUUGGCUCGCCGGGAACGAGGGUCGUUGUUCCUCGGGUUCGACUCCCGGGUCGCGCCGCGAGCGGCGCCACCUUCGCUACCGGUUCUCCCCUCGGUAAGCGUCUCGAAUUCGAACGAGUGUCGUGUCGGGUCAUAUUUAAUGUCGACGGACCGGCUCGUGCUGUUACCUGAAUUGGGUGAAAGGAUUUCACGGCUGAAAAUGAUGAAUUUUGAUGUUGAAUCGGUAGCCCAGUUGAGUGAAGAAGAGUGGUUUCUUCAUACGAGCAUCCAUGAACUACUUGAAUUGGAUUGAAGUUUUGGGGUCCGACCGAGCUGACCCGUUAAUCCAAAUGGGUUUAAUUUCGCUUCGUGAAAAUCCAUUAGCCUGACGGGCCGUAAUUGUUGAGGACCACAGAGUCCUUGGCUUUGUAGCUGUUCAAUGUUUGCGGUAUUGAUUAUAGUUUCUUCAUUGGUGCUAGUGAACUUUAUAAUGUGUGCACUAGCGACAUGAUGGCGACCAAUGUCUGAGUGCAUGCCCUUCUCUAUUUGCAUGCUGGGA